UACAGAGGUCUCAAGCGUUGUUCGGAUUCAUUGGGCGUAAAGGGCGCGUAGGCUGCGGGGCAAGUCGGGUGUGAAAUCUCAGAGCUCAACUCUGAAACUGCACUCGAUACUGCUUUGCUUGAGGACUGGAGAGGAGAUUGGAAUUCACGGUGUAGCAGUGAAAUGCGUAGAUAUCGUGAGGAAGACCAGUGGCGAAGGCGGAUCUCUGGACAGUUCCUGACGCUGAGGCGCGAAGGCCAGGGGAGCAACCGGG
rnacentral:rRNA from 1 species